rnacentral:tRNA from 1 species
GGCGCUAUAGCCAAGUGGUUACGGCGACAGAUUUGAAUGAUUUGGUGUGUAGUAUUCAAUAUCUGUUCCUCUUUGAGGGCGCAGGUUCGAACCCUGCUGGCGUCG